AUACGAAGGGGGCUAGCGUUGUUCGGAAUCACUGGGCGUAAAGCGCGCGUAGGUGGAUCAAUUAGUUGAGGGUGAAAUCCCGGGGCUCAACCUCGGAACUGCCUUCAAUACUGUUGAUCUCGAGACCGAGAGAGGUGAGUGGAAUUCCUAGUGUAGAGGUGAAAUUCGUAGAUAUUAGGAAGAACACCAGUGGCGAAGGCGGCUCACUGGCUCGGUACUGACGCUGAGGUGCGAAAGCGUGGGGAGCAAACAGGAUUAGAUACCCUAGUAGUCC
rnacentral:rRNA from 1 species